UACGUAGGGGGCAAGCGUUGUCCGGAAUCAUUGGGCGUAAAGAGCGUGUAGGCGGCCAGAUAAGUCCGCUGUGAAAUCUCGAGGCUCAACUUCGAGCUGUCGGUGGAAACUGUCUGGCUAGAGUCCGGAAGAGGAGAAUGGAAUUCCUGGUGUAGCGGUGAAAUGCGCAGAUAUCAGGAAGAACACCCGUGGCGAAGGCGGUUCUCUGGAACGCAACUGACGCUGAGACGCGAAAGCGUGGGGAGCAAACAGG
rnacentral:rRNA from 1 species